rnacentral:rRNA from 1 species
GAAUAUUGGUCAAUAGCCUAACGGCUGAACCAGCAACUUGGAGGAAUGUAUAGCGAAAGCUAGUUGUAUUAGCAGGCAAUGGUUAAUACAAUAUCGACUAUGUCGACUAAAGUUCUAGGUAGAGUAAUGAUAAUGACAUUUUUUACCUAUGUGUCUUGACCAAGUCACGUGCCAGCAGUCGCGGCAAUACGUGGAAGACGAGUGUUAUUCAUCUUUAAUAGGUUUAAAGGGUACCCAGACGGUAUAUUUAGCCCAAAAAAGGUACUAAAUAAACUAGAGUUUAAUGUGAGGGGGAUUUAUAGUACUAAUGGUGUAGAGAUGAAAUUCUGUGAUACCAGGAGGUAACUGGUAACGGCGAAAGCAACCCUUUAUGCAAAAACUGACGU